rnacentral:misc_RNA from 1 species
GAUGAAGAACGUAGCGAAAUGAGAUAAGUAAUGUGAAUUGCAGAAUUCAGUGAAUCAUCGAAUCUUUGAACGCACAUUGCGCCCGCCAGUAUUCUGGCGGGCAUGCCUGUUCGAGCGUCAUUACAACCCUCAGGCCCCCGGGCCUGGCGUUGGGGAUCGGCGGAAGCCCCCUGCGGGCACAACGCCGUCCCCCAAAUACAGUGGCGGUCCCGCCGCAGCUUCCAUUGCGUAGUAGCUAACACCUCGCAACUGGAGAGCGGCGCGGCCACGCCGUAAAACACCCAACUUCUGAAUGUUGACCUCGAAUCAGGUAGGAAUACCCGCUGAACUUAAGCAUAUCAAUAAGCGGAGGA